CUUGGUCAUUUAGAGGAAGUAAAAGUCGUAACAAGGUUUCCGUAGGUGAACCUGCGGAAGGAUCAUUAUCCAUCUCAACCAGGUGCGGUCGCGGCCUCCGGGGGUUCUCUCCCGGGUGGUAAGGGUAACACCUUCACGCGCCGCAUUUCUGAACCCUUUUUAUACGAGCACCUUCGUUCUCCUUCGGUGGGGCAACCUGCCGUUGGAACCAAACAAAACCUUUUUUGCAUCUAGCAUUACCUGUUCUGAUACAAAUAAUCGUUACAACUUUCAACAAUGGAUCUCUUGGCUCUGGCAUCGAUGAAGAACGCAGCGAAAUGCGAUAAGUAGUGUGAAUUGCAGAAUUCAGUGAAUCAUCGAAUCUUUGAACGCACAUUGCGCCCCUUGGUAUUCCAUGGGGCAUGCCUGUUCGAGCGUCAUCUACACCCUCAAGCUCUGCUUGGUGUUGGGCGUCUGUCCCGCCUUUGCGCGCGGACUCGCCCCAAAUUCAUUGGCAGCGGUUGCCUCCUCUCGCGCAGCACAAUUGCGUUUCUUGAGGAGUGCGGGCCGCGUCCACGAAGCAACAUUACCGUCUUUGACCUCGGAUCAGGUAGGGAUACCCGCUGAACUUAAGCAUAUCAAUAAGCGGAGGA
rnacentral:rRNA from 1 species